GGGUCCGGACACACUGAGGAUUGACAGGCAAUUAUUGCUAACAGUUUCUUUUUUUAAAAGUACUGUUGCAACAACAAAUAUGCUAGUCCUUUCAUGAUUAUGUGAUAGGUGGUGCAUGGCCGUUCUUAGUUCGUGGAGUGAUCUGUCUGCUUAAUUGCGUUUCAUUAUGGACCAUGUUAUAACAUGUACUAUCUCUUGAUUUUCAAAUUUUCAUUUAUUUGAGAUUUGUUAUAAAGAAGGAGUUUUGGUGCAAUUGGUCCUGAAAGCAACGAACGUGACCGCAUCCUCUUGUUGCCUUUUUAACUUGGCAUUUUUUUUAAUUUAUUUUAACAUUUUUGUCAUAACAUAAGAGGCUUUCAGAAAACUAGAGGGACCGCUGCGACUUUUUUAAACCAGAGGAAGGUUGCGGCAAUAACAGGUCUGUGAUGCCCUUAGAUGUUCCGGGCUGCACACGUGCUACAAUGAUUAUUGCAGUGAGCAUCUCAUUUUAUUUUUUGUGCUUGUCUUGUCUGCGAGUUUAUUCUCAACGACGACAGCCUUAGCCUGCUUCGAAAGUUCGCAGGU
rnacentral:rRNA from 1 species